rnacentral:rRNA from 1 species
UACCAGCACCCCGAGUGGUCGGGACGAUUAUUGGGCCUAAAGCAUCCGUAGCCGGCCUUACAAGUCCCCCGUUAAAUCCGACUGCUUAACAGGUGGGCUGCGGAAGAUACUAUAGAUCUAGGAGGCGGGAGAGGCAAGCGGUACUCGAUGGGUAGGGGUAAAAUCCGUUGAUCCAUUGAAGACCACCAGUGGCGAAGGCGGCUCACUGGCCCGGUACUGACGCUGAGGUGCGAAAGCGUGGGGAGCAAACAGG